rnacentral:lncRNA from 1 species
UAUUAUUAACCACACAUUCUACACUUCACUUUUAUACUUUCACUUUUCAUGCAUUGUUUAGCUUUGAUCAUACCAUUCUAUCAUUCGUUUCUUUUAAUAUGGUGCACUUUUCAAUCGUUAUCACACACACUUUGGCACGCUACUGUGCACAACACAUACUAUGCUUAUGACCACUAUGCUACACAUUGUUUUUUAUAUAACUUUGUUGAGACACUUUGACAUUAAAUUAUGCAUGGGCAAAGCUUUACUC